CCUACGGGAGGCAGCAGUGAGGAAUAUUGGUCAAUGGGCUUACGCCUGAACCAGCCAAGUCGCGUGAGGGAAGACUGCCCUAUGGGUUGUAAACCUCUUUUGUCAGGGAGCAAUUGGCGCUACGUGUAGCGUUAUCGAUAGUACCUGAAGAAAAAGCAUCGGCUAACUCCGUGCCAGCAGCCGCGGUAAUACGGAGGAUGCGAGCGUUCUCCGGAUUUAUUGGGUUUAAAGGGUGCGUAGGCGGAAUGCCAAGUCAGCGGUAAAAUCGCGGGGCUCAACCUCGCUCCGCCGUUGAAACUGGCGUUCUGGAGUGGGCGAGAAGUAUGCGGAAUGCGUGGUGUAGCGGUGGAAUGCAUAGAUAUCACGCAGAACUCCGAUUGCGAAGGCAGCAUACCGGCGCCCAACUGACGCUGAAGCACGAAAGCGUGGGUAUCGAACAGGAUUAGAUACCCCAGUAGUC
rnacentral:rRNA from 1 species